rnacentral:ribozyme from 16 species
UAUGUGUAUACUUCUCUCAAAGAUGAGGUGGAAGAUGAAGAUGAUGAAAAUUCUGAGAACCGAAAGGAAAAUGAAGAUGAUCAUUUGGGCACACAAAUCAUUCAUAAAUUCUUUUCAUUUAAAAAAAAAGAAGAAGAAACUCAC